AGAGUUUGAUCCUGGCUCAGGAUGAAUGCUGGCGGCGUGCCUAAUACAUGCAAGUCGAGCGGUAAGGCCCUUCGGGGUACACGAGCGGCGGACGGCUGAGUAACGCGUGGGAACAUGCCCCAAAGUGAGGGAUAACGCACCGAAAGGUGUGCUAAUACCGCAUAUGGUCUUCGGAUUAAAGGAUUUAUCCGCUUUGGGAGUGGCCCGCGUACGAUUAGAUUGUUGGUGAGGUAACGGGCUCACCAAGUCGACGAUCGUUAACUGGUCUGAGAGGAUGAUCAGUCAGACUGGAACUGAGACACGGUCCAGACUCCUACGGGAGGCAGCAGUAAGGAAUCUUCCACAAUGGGCGAAAGCCUGAUGGAGCAACGCCGCGUGCAGGAUGAAGGCCCUCGGGUCGUAAACUGCUUUAUGAGUGAAGAAUAUGACGGUAACUCAUGAAUAAGCACCGGCUAACUACGUG
rnacentral:rRNA from 1 species